AGAACAACUGAAGCUACAUUAUGUGAGUUCAGUGGCUUAAUUUCCAGCUGUAUUUAUAAAACAUCAUGUUUUGCAAGCUGGGGGAGGGGGGAUCAGGUGUCCUUCACUUAGGUUUAUCCAGUGGGAAUUUUCAGCUGUUAAAGGGCCGCUGCACUUGUCAAAUAUACAGGGCUGGGAGGGAGUGAAUUCAAGAAAGGGAGGAGAAGGAGCAGACUCCCAUCAG